UACAUGUGGGGCAAGCGUUGUUCGGAAUUACUGGGCGUAAAGGCUCGUAGGUGGCCAACUAAGUCAUACGUGAAAUCCCUCGGCUUAACCGGGGAACUGCGUCUGAUACUGGAUGGCUUGAGGUUGGGAGAGGGAUGCGGAAUUCCAGGUGUAGCGGUGAAAUGCGUAGAUAUCGGAGGAACACCGGUGGCGAAGGCGGCAUCCUGGACCAAUUCUGACACUGAGGAGCGAAAGCCAGGGGAGCAA
rnacentral:rRNA from 1 species